rnacentral:misc_RNA from 1 species
GUUUUGCGUGAGCGAUUGCAGCGGAAAUCCCACAGUGAAAAUGGCGCGAGCGAAGCGAGCGUUAGUUUUCACGAGGAAUUGCAGCGAAAAGCGCGGUAUUUU